rnacentral:rRNA from 1 species
UACGUAGGGCGCAAGCGUUGUCCGGAAUUAUUGGGCGUAAAGAGCUCGUAGGCGGCCAGUUGCGUCUGCUGUGAAAUCCCGGGGCUCAACCCCGGGCGUGCAGUGGAUACGGGCUGGCUAGAGGCAGGCAGGGGAGAACGGAAUUCCCGGUGUAGCGGUGAAAUGCGCAGAUAUCGGGAGGAACACCGGUGGCGAAGGCGGUUCUCUGGGCCUGUACUGACGCUGAGGCACGAAAGCCAGGGGAGCAAACGGG